rnacentral:rRNA from 1 species
UACGUAGGGGGCUAGCGUUGUCCGGAAUCAUUGGGCGUAAAGCGCGUGUAGGCGGUCCGGUAAGUCCGCUGUGAAAGUCGGGGGCUCAACCCUCGGAUGCCGGUGGAUACUGUCGGGCUCGAGUCCGGAAGAGGAGUGUGGAAUUCCUGGUGUAGCGGUGAAAUGCGCAGAAUAUCAGGAGGACACCAAUAGGCGAAGGCAGCACUCUGGGAACGUGACUGCGGCUGAGACGC